GCUGAUCUAUGAUGACACUUCAUGGAGGACUGUUGGAUGAUGUUUGUGGAUAUGGGACUGAGAUCAGUG